GAUGAACGCUAGCGGGAGGCCUAACACAUGCAAGCCGAGCGGUAUUAUUUCUUCGGAAAUGAGAGAGCGGCGUACGGGUGCGGAACACGUGUGCAACCUGCCUUUAUCUGGGGGAUAGCCUUUCGAAAGGGAGAUUAAUACUCCAUAACAUAUUGAACGGCAUCGUUUGAUAUUGAAAGCUCCGGCGGAUAGAGAUGGGCACGCGCAAGAUUAGCUAGUUGGUGAGGUAACGGCUCACCAAGGCGAUGAUCUUUAGGGGGCCUGAGAGGGUGAUCCCCCACGCUGGUACUGAGACACGGACCAGACUCCUACGGGAGGCAGCAGUGAGGAAUAUUGGUCAAUGGGUGCAAGCCUGAACCAGCCAUCCCGCGUGAAGGACGACUGCCCUAUGGGUUGUAAACUUCCUUUGUAUAGGGAUAAACCUACCCUCGUGAGGGUAGCUGAAGGUACUAUACGAAUAAGCACCGGCUAACUCCGUGCCAGCAGCCGCCGCCGUAA
rnacentral:rRNA from 1 species